rnacentral:rRNA from 1 species
UACGGAGGGUGCAAGCGUUAUCCGGAUUCACUGGGUUUAAAGGGUGCGUAGGUGGGUCGGUAAGUCAGUGGUGAAAUCUCUGGGCUUAACCCGGAAACUGCCAUUGAUACUAUCGAUCUUGAAUAUCGCGUAGGUAAGCGGAAUAUGUCAUGUAGCGGAUGAAAUGCUUAGAUAUGACAUAGAACACCAAUUGCGAAGGCAGCUUACUUCACGAUCAUUGACACUGAGGCACGAAAGCGUGGGGAUCAAACAGG